UUGCACGCUGGCGGCAUGCUUUACACCUGCAAGUCGCACGGUAACAGGCCUUCGGGUGCUGACGAGUGGCGAACGGGUGAGUAAUGCAUCGGAACGUACCCAGAGGUGGGGGAUAACGCAGCGAAAGCUGUGCUAAUACCGCAUGUGAUCUGAGGAUGAAAGCGGGGGACCGAGCAGCAAUGUUUGGCCUCGCGCCUUUGGAGCGGCCGAUGUCGGAUUAGCUAGUUGGUGGGGUAAAGGCCUACCAAGGCGACGAUCCGUAGCUGGUCUGAGAGGACGACCAGCCACACUGGGACUGAGACACGGCCCAGACUCCUACGGGAGGCAGCAGUGGGGAAUUUUGGACAAUAGGCGCAAGCCUGAUCCAGCAAUGCCGCGUGCGGGAAGAAGGCCUUCGGGUUGUAAACCGCUUUUGGCAGGAACGAAACGGUGUCCGCUAAUACCGGGCGCUAAUGACGGUACCUGCAGAAUAAGCACCGGCUAACUACGUG
rnacentral:rRNA from 1 species